AACCGACCUCAAACAACGGGGAAUCGACUUUAAGGCAAACAUAUAUGUAGUGUCAAACGUUUGGUACCAUACAUUCGCCAAGUUGGUCAUUUUUAUUCCUGUUCAAGACGAAUCCAUUGGAGUUUAUACGUUUUAUGCGCGAGAUGUUACAAUUCGCAAGAUUGUGUUUGUGUCUACAGUGAAAGAAAAUGAAACAUGGAAUGUGUACUGGAUUCAUAUAACCAAACCAUCAUCACAGUCACGCGAUUACAUCUUCUGGCAAAAAAAGACAAUCAGAGGUCCGACAAUGUUCAGUUUCUAUGUGUCAUCGUCAGCUUCUGG